GAUGAACGCUAGCGGCAGGCCUAACACAUGCAAGUCGAGGGGGAAGUGACCUGCGGGUGACUGAUACCGGCGUACGGGCGAGUAACGCGUAUACAAGUUGCCUACCACUGGGGGACAGCGCGAAGAAACUUGGAUAAAUACCUCAUAGCAUAUAGGGACGGCAUCGUUGUUAUACUAAAGUUUUGGAGGUGCAAGAGGAGUAUGCGUUCUAUUAGCUAGUUGGAGAGGUAACGGCUCCCCAAGGCGAUGAUAGAUAGGGGUUCUGAGAGGGAUGUCCCCCACACUGGUACUGAGAUACGGACCAGACUCCUACGGGAGGCAGCAGUGAGGAAUAUUGGGCAAUGGUGGGAAGUCUGAUCCAGCCAUGCCGCGUGCAGGAUGAAGGUCUUAUGGAUUGUAAACUGCUUUUGUAAGGGAAGAAUAAGGGCUACGCGUAGUUUGUUGACGGUACCUUACGAAUAAGCAUCGGCUAACUCCGUG
rnacentral:rRNA from 1 species